GAGUAGAGUGAGUGAGAGAGGACCCCAAACGAAAUGAUGCGCCAAACUUGAAGUUUAGUGUCAGCUGAAUUCACACUUGAGCUUUGUCUCAAAAUCUUCAUCAGUGUGGAGCAGUGAACGAAGAGGAGCACCACCAUGGCUGGUAUAACCACCAGCACCGCCUUCCCCUUCCACCACCUCCAUACUCGACCCUCUCCUCUUCUCUCUUUUUCUGAUUCCAAGCUCUUCGGUCUUCCUAUCUCCAAUCCCAACUCCCUCAAAUUCGACUCUCCUAUU
rnacentral:lncRNA from 1 species